rnacentral:RNase_P_RNA from 1 species
CGAGGCGGCCAGGUGAUCGCCCCCUAUUCGCCCUACGGUGGACGGGGGGAGGAAAGUCCGAACACCACAGGGUAGGACGCCCGCAAGGGGCGCCGUGAGGCGACGGAAAGUGCCACAGAAAACAAACCGCCCCUUAGGGGGUAAGGGUGAAAAGGUGGGGUAAGAGCCCACCGCUUCGGGUGGUAACACCUGAAGGCACGGUAAACCCCGUCCGGUGCAAGGCCAAAUAGGCGAGGAAUCCCGAUUCGUCGGGAGUGAAGUGACCCGCUUCAUUCGACUCGCGGGUAGGCCGCAUAGAUAAAUGAUCACCCACGACAGAAUUCGGCUUAUCGGCCGCCUCUUCUU